CCCUAACUAUCCCAUUUACUCCCAUUUAAUCUCCUCUUUGUUCUGACUUGUCAAGUUCUCAGUCUCUCCCUUACCCUAGGCGUUGUAGGACUAGCCGGCCUCCAACCAAGACAGGGGUGUAUGAUGUUCUCUCUUCAUACUUAUUAGUGAAGUCUAAUUCUCCGUUUACAUUCACUCUGUAGUAUUGUCGUCUAAUCGCUGAUUUGAUGGCAUUCAAAGAGAUUAUGUACCUCGGGAUGAGGCUUUCGAGGAAAUUAAGCAGAAUACUUUCUCCACUGGAAGAUUGAAAGCUCUGCUUCACAAUCUUAUACCAUCUCUUGCUGCUACAUUGUCAAGAGGUUCUUUCCGUUGGAGAAAGAUGGUUGAAAUACGAAAUCCCCGCUGUUAUAAAAAUGGAUAGAUUUGCUUGGUUGCGUGAUAAUGAAUUUGCACGCCAAACUUGGGGUCAAUUUAAGAGUCCUUAAGUUGGGUUCUAUUGCACAGAAAUUUCCGAUUCUCAGCAAACUAGAUCCUGCUGUUUAUGGUCCUCCCGAAUCUGCUAUCACGAAGGAAUUGUUAGAGCAAGAAAUCAAUGGGAUGAGUGCAGAUAAGGCAAUUGAGGAGAAGAGACUAUUUAUACUUAAUUAGUCCGGGAAAGUACGCCAUGGAGGUAAGCUCUGCAGCAUACAAGGAUAUGUGGAGGUUUGACAUGGAGGCAUUACCAGCUGAUCUUCUUCGAAGCUGAGUAAAUUGGCAUCUGGGAGAGAAUGUUGCUUGAAGAUGACCUUAGAGGCCGUCCACGGAGCAUUGUUCAGGUCAUUGUUUGAGGAUGUAAUAUAUGUAUCUAAACACUACUCUUUGGCACAUAUAUUUUCAAAACUUUCUACAACUUCAACAAUGUUUCAAACCCUGCAACAACGUGCGAGUACACCUGCUUGUUUACUCUAUCACAGGCCUGCAAUGCAUGUUUAAUCCUGCAGAUAACUCCUUGCUGCUAGAGCUUUUUCUGCAUCACAUAGGCUAG